rnacentral:rRNA from 1 species
CGUACACUCCUGCGGGAGGCAGCAGUGGGGAAUAUUGCACAAUGGGCGCAAGCCUGAUGCAGCGACGCCGCGUGGGGGAUGAAGGCCUUCGGGUUGUAAACUCCUUUCGCUAGGGACGAAGCUUUUUUGUGACGGUACCUAGAUAAGAAGCACCGGCUAACUACGUGCCAGCAGCCGCGGUAAUACGUAGGGUGCGAGCGUUGUCCGGAAUUACUGGGCGUAAAGGGCUCGUAGGUGGUUUGUCGCGUCGUCUGUGAAAUUCUGGGGCUUAACUCCGGGCGUGCAGGCGAUACGGGCAUAACUUGAGUGCUGUAGGGGUAACUGGAAUUCCUGGUGUAGCGGUGAAAUGCGCAGAUAUCAGGAGGAACACCGAUGGCGAAGGCAGGUUACUGGGCAGUUACUGACGCUGAGGAGCGAAAGCAUGGGUAGCGAACAGGAUUAGAAACCCUGGUAGUCCCA